UGCGUAGGUGGGUCUGUAAGUCAGUGGUGAAAUCUCCGAGCUUAACUCGGAAACUGCCAUUGAUACUAUAGGUCUUGAAUUAUCUGGAGGUAAGCGGAAUAUGUCAUGUAGCGGUGAAAUGCUUAGAUAUGACAUAGAACACCAAUUGCGAAGGCAGCUUACUACGGAUAUAUUGACACUGAGGCACGAAAGCGUGGGGAUCAAACAGGAUUAGAUACCCUGGUAGUCCACGCCCUAAACGAUGGAUACUCGACAUCAGCGAUACACUGUUGGUGUCUGAGCGAAAGCAUUAAGUAUCCCACCUGGGAAGUACGAUCGCAAGAUUGAA
rnacentral:rRNA from 1 species